CUUCUCCGCCGGCGACCGGCGCACGGGUGAGUAACACGUAUGCAACCUGCCCCUGUCAGGGGGACAACCCGCCGAAAGGCGGGCUAAACCCGCGUACAUGCCACCGGGGCAUCCCGGAGGCAGGAAAGGCUUCGGCCGGACAGGGAUGGGCAUGCGGCGCAUUAGGCAGUAGGCGGGGUAACGGCCCACCUAACCGACGAUGCGUAGGGGUUCUGAGAGGAAGGUCCCCCACCACUGGUACUGAGACACGGACCAGACUCCUACGGAAGGCAGCAG
rnacentral:rRNA from 1 species